CGCCGGGGGGCCAGCGGCCGCCGCCGGAUUUGAGCUGAGCGCCGGCGACGGCCCGGCUCCGCGGCUGCAGGGGCCGCGGGACGUGCAGAGUUGCGGGAUGGCCCUCGCACUGCUGCCGAGCUGAGGCGGCCCUGGGCAGACCCCGGGGCCCCCAGGCCUGGAGCCCCUACUAUCAGCCUCUUGAGGACCACCUCGAGGAACUUUCUUAAGGAAGAUGGUGACGGAUUUGGCUUUUCGGUGCGUCACUGCCACUUCAGCAAGGCCGCUAAAGGAGUCGGAGUGACAAGGACCCACUUGUGGUGCCCAGUGACAUGUCCCUCCCACAGGUGGGGGGCACCUGCCAGAGACGCCAGCCUGUCUGUGGGGGGUUCUCUGUCCACUGUGAAGAUCUGCCACUCGAGAGCCCGCCCAGAGGAGCGUCCAGGCAUGCUGGGACCAGGAGGCCUGCAGCGCUGGGCUCCUCCCAGACGGUGGGGGGUGAUGGCUGGAGCUGGGCCUGCACUUGUCAGAGCAGCUGGAGGGAGAGGCGGGCUUAGGUGAGACCUUACAUGGACUUCACUCACCUGUGGAGAGACGGUGUCCUGAAGGUCACUGUGGGUGUACUGGGGGUCACACCCAGCAGGCCUGGCAGGGCCAGGUUCCGCAGGUGACGGGGAGCUUGUGGGUGGCCUUGGCCCCAUGAGCCCCAGUGUUCUCAGCCAGCCCACAGGGUAUUUUACAGGGGGGGUCGUGCGGGAACUUUGCGGUCGGGAGGGGCUCCAGUGCCAUCCCCAACCUGGCCUGGCCCUGCAGAGUGACGGUGGCACCGAGCGGGGUCCUGUCUCACCUUGCUGGGGAACUGGCCUGACCUGGCUUGGUCCUGCCCUGCCCCGGAAUGAUGUGUGUGUGUGUGUGUGUGUGUGUGUGUGUGUGUGUGCCGGGAGCCGGGGGCGGGGAGCCAGGCCUCUCAGCACCGCGUAGCUCGCAGAUUGUUUUCAGAGUGCAGUUUAAAGCUCCAAAGUAAACUUUUCAGCAACUCCA